rnacentral:rRNA from 1 species
GGUUAAGCGACUAAGCGUACACGGUGGAUGCCCUGGCAGUCAGAGGCGAUGAAGGACGUGCUAAUCUGCGAAAAGCGUCGGUAAGGUGAUAUGAACCGUUACAGCCGGCGAUGUCCGAAUGGGGAAACCCAGUGUGAUUCGUCACACUAUCGUUAACUGAAUACAUAGGUUAACGAGGCGAACCGGGGGAACUGAAACAUCUAAGUACCCCGAGGAAAAGAAAUCAACCGAGAUUCCCCCAGUAGCGGCGAGCGAACGGGGAGCAGCCCAGAGUCUGAAUCAGCUUGUGUGUUAGUGGAACGGUCUGGAAAGUCCGACGGUACAGGGUGAUAGUCCCGUACACCAAAAUGCACAGGUUGUGAACUCGAAGAGUAGGGCGGGACACGUGGUAUCCUGUCUGAAUAUGGGGGGACCAUCCUCCAAGGCUAAAUACUCCUGACUGACCGAUAGUGAACCAGUACCGUGAGGGAAAGGCGAAAAGAACCCCGGCGAGGGGAGUGAAAAAGAACCUGAAACCGUGUACGUACAAGCAGUGGGAGCACCCUUUAGGGUGUGACUGCGUACCUUUUGUAUAAUGGGUCAGCGACUUAUAUUCUGUAGCAAGGUUAACCGUAUAGGGGAGCCGCAGGGAAACCGAGUCUUAACUGGGCGUUAAGUUGCAGGGUAUAGACCCGAAACCCGGUGAUCUAGCCAUGGGCAGGUUGAAGGUUGGGUAACACUAACUGGAGGACCGAACCGACUAAUGUUGAAAAAUUAGCGGAUGACUUGUGGCUGGGGGUGAAAGGCCAAUCAAACCGGGAGAUAGCUGGUUCUCCCCGAAAGCUAUUUAGGUAGCGCCUCGUGAAUUCAUCUUCGGGGGUAGAGCACUGUUUCGGCUAGGGGGUCAUCCCGACUUACCAACCCGAUGCAAACUACGAAUACCGAAGAAUGUUAUCACGGGAGACACACGGCGGGUGCUAACGUCCGUCGUGAAGAGGGAAACAACCCAGACCGCCAGCUAAGGUCCCAAAGUCACAGUUAAGUGGGAAACGAUGUGGGAAGGCACAGACAGCCAGGAUGUUGGCUUAGAAGCAGCCAUCAUUUAAAGAAAGCGUAAUAGCUCACUGGUCGAGUCGGCCUGCGCGGAAGAUGUAACGGGGCUAAACUGUGCACCGAAGCUGCGGCAGCGACACUAUGUGUUGUUGGGUAGGGGAGCGUUCUGUAAGCCUGCGAAGGUGGCCUGUGAGGGUUGCUGGAGGUAUCAGAAGUGCGAAUGCUGACAUAAGUAACGAUAAUGCGGGUGAAAAGCCCGCACGCCGGAAGACCAAGGGUUCCUGUCCAACGUUAAUCGGGGCAGGGUGAGUCGACCCCUAAGGCGAGGCCGAAAGGCGUAGUCGAUGGGAAACAGGUUAAUAUUCCUGUACUUGGUGUUACUGCGAAGGGGGGACGGAGAAGGCUAUGUUAGCCGGGCGACGGUUGUCCCGGUUUAAGCAUGUAGGCGGAGGUUCCAGGUAAAUCCGGUACCUUUUAACGCUGAGGUGUGAUGACGAGGCACUACGGUGCUGAAGUAACAAAUGCCCUGCUUCCAGGAAAAGCCUCUAAGCAUCAGGUAACAUUAAAUCGUACCCCAAACCGACACAGGUGGUCAGGUAGAGAAUACCAAGGCGCUUGAGAGAACUCGGGUGAAGGAACUAGGCAAAAUGGUGCCGUAACUUCGGGAGAAGGCACGCUGAUAUGUAGGUGAAGCCCCUGCGGGUGGAGCUGAAAUCAGUCGAAGAUACCAGCUGGCUGCAACUGUUUAUUAAAAACACAGCACUGUGCAAACACGAAAGUGGACGUAUACGGUGUGACGCCUGCCCGGUGCCGGAAGGUUAAUUGAUGGGGUUAUCCGUAAGGAGAAGCUCUUGAUCGAAGCCCCGGUAAACGGCGGCCGUAACUAUAACGGUCCUAAGGUAGCGAAAUUCCUUGUCGGGUAAGUUCCGACCUGCACGAAUGGCGUAAUGAUGGCCAGGCUGUCUCCACCCGAGACUCAGUGAAAUUGAACUCGCUGUGAAGAUGCAGUGUACCCGCGGCAAGACGGAAAGACCCCGUGAACCUUUACUAUAGCUUGACACUGAACAUUGAGCCUUGAUGUGUAGGAUAGGUGGGAGGCUUUGAAGCGUGGACGCCAGUCUGCGUGGAGCCAACCUUGAAAUACCACCCUUUAAUGUUUGAUGUUCUAACGUUGGCCCCUGACCGGGGUUGCGGACAGUGUCUGGUGGGUAGUUUGACUGGGGCGGUCUCCUCCCAAAGAGUAACGGAGGAGCACGAAGGUUAGCUAAUCCUGGUCGGACAUCAGGAGGUUAGUGCAAUGGCAUAAGCUAGCUUGACUGCGAGCGUGACGGCGCGAGCAGGUGCGAAAGCAGGUCAUAGUGAUCCGGUGGUUCUGAAUGGAAGGGCCAUCGCUCAACGGAUAAAAGGUACUCCGGGGAUAACAGGCUGAUACCGCCCAAGAGUUCAUAUCGACGGCGGUGUUUGGCACCUCGAUGUCGGCUCAUCACAUCCUGGGGCUGAAGUAGGUCCCAAGGGUAUGGCUGUUCGCCAUUUAAAGUGGUACGCGAGCUGGGUUUAGAACGUCGUGAGACAGUUCGGUCCCUAUCUGCCGUGGGCGCUGGAGAAUUGAGGGGGGCUGCUCCUAGUACGAGAGGACCGGAGUGGACGCAUCACUGGUGUUCGGGUUGUCAUGCCAAUGGCAUUGCCCGGUAGCUAAAUGCGGAAGAGAUAAGUGCUGAAAGCAUCUAAGCACGAAACUUGCCCCGAGAUGAGUUCUCCCUGAGACUUUAAGUCUCCUGAAGGAACGUUAAAGACGAUGACGUUGAUAGGUCGGGUGUGUAAGCGUAGCGAUACGUUGAGCUAACCGAUACUAAUGAACCGUGAGGCUUAACCUU